AUUGAACGCUGGCGGCAGGCUUAACACAUGCAAGUCGAGCGGGGGAAGGUAGCUUGCUACCGGACCUAGCGGCGGACGGGUGAGUAAUGCUUAGGAAUCUGCCUAUUAGUGGGGGACAACAUCUCGAAAGGGAUGCUAAUACCGCAUACGUCCUACGGGAGAAAGCAGGGGAUCUUCGGACCUUGCGCUAAUAGAUGAGCCUAGGUCGGAUUAGCUAGUUGGUGGGGUAAAGGCCUACCAAGGCGACGAUCUGUAGCGGGUCUGAGAGUAUGAUCCGCCACAGUGGGACUGAGACACGGGCAAGACUCAUGCGGGAGGCAGCAGUGGGGAAUAUUGUGCAAUGGGGGGAACCCUGAUCCAGCCAUGCCGCGUGUGUGAAGAAGGCCUUAUGGUUGUAAAGCACUUUAAGCGAGGAGGAGGCUACUCUAGUUAAUACCUAGGGAUAGUGGACGUUACUCGCAGAAUAAGCACCGGCUAACUCUGUGCCAGCCGCCGCCGUAA
rnacentral:rRNA from 1 species